AUUUUAGGACCCAAUACCCUGACUCCUUUCUGUAAGGUAUCAUUCCACUGUCUUAAAUUCCCAUAUGUUUCGAUCUAUUUCUUAUUUUCCAUAAGGCAUAUAUAGUUGAAGGCUAAACUAUGGCAUACUUUAAAAAGUAGCCACCUUGGCCGGGUGCCGUGGCUCUAUGAAUAGUGCUGCUAUAAAUAUUCUUCUGUAAGUCUUUUAGUGUAAUUUUUAAAGUAUAUAACUUCUUUAUGUUGUGAAUAUAUGUAGGAUUUCAACAGUUUGAUUAUGA
rnacentral:lncRNA from 1 species